AUACUCUGGUUUCUCUUCAAAUCGCAUAAAUCUUUCGCCUUUUACUAAAGAUUUCUGUGGAGAGGAAUGAUUCUGAGUCGUUAUCAAUUUUUUGAGGCCUUGCUUCAGUAAGGCU